rnacentral:rRNA from 1 species
GCCUACGACCAUAUCACCCUGAAUGCGCCCAAUCUCGUCUGAUCUCGGAAGCUAAGCAUGGUCGAGCCUGGUUAGUACUUGGAUGGGAGACUACCUGGGAAUACCAGGUGUUGUAGGCU